GACCCCGCACAAGCGGCGGAGCAUGCGGCUUAAUUCGAUGAUACGCGAGGAACCUUACCAGGGCUUAAAUGUAAGUUGCAUAGAUCAGAGAUGGUCUUUUCUUCGGACUACUUACAAGGUGCUGCAUGGUUGUCGUCAGCUCGUGCCGUGAGGUGUCAGGUUAAGUCCUAUAACGAGCGCAACCCCUGUCGUUAGUUACCAGCAAGUAAUGUUGGGUACUCUAGCGAGACUGCCGGUGCAAACCGUGAGGAAGGUGGGGAUGACGUCAAAUCAUCACGGCCCUUACGUCCUGGGCUACACACGUGCUACAAUGGCCGGUACAGAGAGCAGCCACUACGCGAGUAGGAGCGAAUCUUCAAAGCCGGUCUCAGUUCGGAUCGCAGUCUGCAACUCGACUGCGUGAAGCUGGAAUCGCUAGUAAUCG
rnacentral:rRNA from 1 species